rnacentral:tRNA from 1 species
GGGAUCUUAGCUCAGCUGGGAGAGCAUCUGCCUUACAAGCAGAGGGUCACAGGUUCGAAUCCUGUUGCUCCCA